GCUUGGGUGCCCGAGUGGUCUAAGGGGGUGGACUUAAGAUCCUCUGUUGUAAAAACGCGCAGGUUCGAACCCUGCCCCAAGCA
rnacentral:tRNA from 1 species